rnacentral:tRNA from 1 species
AAAAAGAUAAGCUAAUAAAGCUACUAGGUUCAUACCCUGGAUAUAGAAGUCAAAUCUUCUUCUUUUUA